UCUAGUGGGGAGUUGGAGAACCUUUAUUUCUAGCUAAAGGAUUGUGAAUACACCAAUCAGCACUCUGUAUCUAGCUCAAGGUUUGUAAAUGCACUAAUCAGCA